GUGCAUAUUGUGGCGAAACAACGAUUGGUCGAUAAUCAUUAUUAAUGCCAAGUUUGAAGCCACAAGGCAGCUUGCUGGCUAAGUACAUGGAGAUUUGGUAUCAGAUAUUACUGUAGGUGAAAGUUUAGGAUCCAGUGAUCAUCAGUCAGUGUGGUUUAAUAUAAGAACAGUGACUGAGUCACACCACACAAAAACAAAAGUUUUUGUGACUUUUCUAAAAUUAGAAUAUGUGUAGA